AAACAACUCAGCAUUUCAGCCUAGCUUCAUAGAUACCAGCUUCACAAGAGAAAGCUUUGCAAACAACUCAGGCCUCUGUGGACGACCUUUAGAACCCUGUGGACGCCAUAGAUGGAAAUUUGAUUCAUUAAAGAAGGGAUUUACGAUUGGUUAUGCAAUCUCCUUUGUUUUGAUCAUAGUUGCUUUCAUUCCUUAUGACAUACCUACUUGGCUGAAGUUCAAGACCAAGAAUAAGAAGCUGAAGAUGAGAAGGAACAUUAGUCAAGUGACAGAGUUGGCUACUGUGGAUAACCUACCGGAAGGUGGCACAGAGAUUCUAAAGUUGGAGAAGGUGGUCCCAAGGUUGCCUUACAGAGAUCUCAGCAAUGCAACAAAUAAUUUUAGUGAAAAGAAUAUUAUCGGCUUGGGAAAGAUGGGUAUAUUGUUCAAGGCAACACUGAGUUCUGGUGGUUUCCUGGCAGUCAAGAAGUUACACUAUGCUCAAUUUCUUGAUGAGCGAUUCACGGCUGAAUUGAAGAUGCUUGGCAUAAUGAGACACAUCAAUUUACUUCCAUUGUUGGGAUUUUGCAUAAAUUCAAAGGAAAGGCUUCUAGUUUACAAAUAUAUGCCAAAUGGUAUCCUUUAUGACUGGCUGAAACUUGUGGAAGAUCAAGCAAAAGUCCUGGAGUGGUCUUUGAGGGUUAAAAUUGCUACUGGGUUG
rnacentral:misc_RNA from 1 species